rnacentral:rRNA from 1 species
GAUGAACGCUGACAGAAUGCUUAACACAUGCAAGUCAACUUGAAUUUGGGUUUUUAACUUAGGUUUGGGUGGCGGACGGGUGAGUAACGCGUAAAGAACUUGCCUCACAGCUAGGGACAACAUUUGGAAACGAAUGCUAAUACCUAAUAUUAUGAUAAUAGGGCAUCCUAUAAUUAUGAAAGCUAUAAGCGCUGUGAGAGAGCUUUGCGUCCCAUUAGCUAGUUGGAGAGGUAACGGCUCACCAAGGCGAUGAUGGGUAGCCGGCCUGAGAGGGUGAUCGGCCACAAGGGGACUGAGACACGGCCCUUACUCCUACGGGAGGCAGCAGUGGGGAAUAUUGGACAAUGGACCGAGAGUCUGAUCCAGCAAUUCUGUGUGCACGAUGAAGUUUUUCGGAAUGUAAAGUGCUUUCAGUUGGGAAGAAACAAAUGACGGUACCAACAGAAGAAGAGACGGCUAAAUACGUG